rnacentral:misc_RNA from 1 species
AGCGUUUGACAUCCUCAUCGCGGUUACCAGAGAUGGGAUCCUUCAGUUCGGCUGGCGGGAACACAGGUGCUGCAUGGCUGUCGUCAGCUCGUGUCGUGAGAUGUUGGGUUAAGUCCCGCAACGAGCGCAACCCUCGCCCUUAGUUGCCAGCAUUCAGUUGGGCACUCUAAGGGGACUGCCGGUGAUAAGCCGCGAGGAAGGUGGGGAUGACGUCCUCUACG